GAUGAACGCUGGCGGCGUGCCUAAUACAUGCAAGUCGAGCGAACGGACGAGAAGCUUGCUUCUCUGAUGUUAGCGGCGGACGGGUGAGUAACACGUGGAUAACCUACCUAUAAGACUGGGAUAACUUCGGGAAACCGGAGCUAAUACCGGAUAAUAUUUUGAACCGCAUGGUUCAAAAGUGAAAGACGGUCUUGCUGUCACUUAUAGAUGGAUCCGCGCUGCAUUAGCUAGUUGGUAAGGUAACGGCUUACCAAGGCAACGGUGCAUAGCCGACCUGAGAGGGUGAUCAGCCACACUGGAACUGAGACACGGUCCAGACUCCUACGGGAGGCAGCAGUAGGGAAUCUUCCGCAAUGGGCGAAAGCCUGACGGAGCAACGCCGCGUGGGUGAUGAAGGUCUUCGGAUCGUAAAACUCUGUUAUUAGGGAAGAACAUAUGUGUAAGUAACUGUGCACAUCUUGACGGUACCUAAUCAGAAAGCCACGGCUAACUACGUG
rnacentral:rRNA from 1 species